rnacentral:rRNA from 1 species
UUUUUAGUCAGGCAACGAGCGAGACCCAUGCCCACUGUUGCUAACGCGUCCCGCGAGGGAUGGCGAGUACACGGUGGGGACCGCUGGCGCUAAGUCAGAGGAAGGGGUGGUCGACGGUAGGUCAGUAUGCCCCGAAUAUCCCGGGCUACACGCGGGCUACAAUGGACAGGACAAUGGGCUACUACACCGAAAGGUGGCGUCAAUCUCUUAAACCUGUCCUUAGUUCGGAUUGAGGGCUGAAACUCGCCCUCAUGAAGAUGGAAUCCGUAGUAAUCGCAUCAAAUAGGGC